rnacentral:SRP_RNA from 1 species
CCGUGCUAGACGGGGAAGUAGCGGUGCCCUGUACCCGAGAUCCGCUCUACGCGGGGUCGAAUUCCCCUACCGAGGGAGGUGCUGGCCUGGGUCUGUCUGGUCCGAGGGGCGUUGAAGAUCGGGUCCCACCCAACAGGCGGCUACGAACCCCGCCAGGUCCGGAAGGAAGCAACGGUAAGUUGAUCCGUCCUGUGUGCCGUGGGGAAGCCCGGUCGGAGCCCGGAGGACCAAGCACGCCAGAUUAGCGCCUUUCGAAGAGGGGUGCACGG